GAGUGUGGCUCAGUGGUAGAGCACUUGCCUAGCAUGUGUGAGACACUGGGUUUGAUCCCCAGCGACACA
rnacentral:tRNA from 1 species